GAGGCCAUCCUCCUCUGUCUUGCCCGAUGUAAAGUAAGAGUAGAAUGGAUGGCAACAGAAAUGUAAUGAGGCAUCUACCACAGCAAAUAAUCAAAUGGGCUGAGCAGGUUAUGAUCUGAGGCAGUAAACAAGCUGGUAAUUAGGUCCUAAUAAAAAUAUGUAUAAAAGAUGUAUAAACAGCACAGCAUGACAAAAUUCCCAACCUUUUUGUCACUCUGCAAUCAAAAGUAGUCAACAUGUUUACAUUUGAAGGUUGAAGUGGAUGAGUGAAAAAUGCAAAGUUUAUUUUACCCUUUGUACUUCAAUUUGAUCCUGUGUUUACUGUAAUAGUGAUACAUACCUCAUUUUAAUAUUAUAUGGGUAAAAUUGAUUUGUUUUACGGGUGGGUCACGAGAAACUCUCAAACGCUGCAGGUGGGUCACAAAAAACUUUGCGACCCUCUGCUAUAUAGCACAGUAUAAAACACCAUAAACUACACUUUUAGCCUGUGUUAACCUACAGAUGAAACA